rnacentral:lncRNA from 7 species
ACUCGAGGCUCAGGGGUGUAUCGGAGCCACAGGCGGUCCUCCCACGGGCAGACACCCGAACUUGAGAGCAGUCACCCCAAGUUCAGCCUCCGAGGAGCGGCACCGCGGAAGUGCUGCUGAUGCCUUCUCCAGACGAGACGCCCAAACAAGGCAGCUACCACCGGAACAGAGCAAGACAACUUGUUUAUCAGACAGAGGAAUGCUCCUCAGCAGUGCAGGGCAGGAGGAAGAGGGGGCUGCUGUCUCCAGGCCCAGCGUAGGCAGUUCAGAGAUGGCCUGCAUUGUUCUACAUCAGGAUAACGAGGCGCUUCCGCAGCCCCUUUCCUGUGGGAUCCUAGUCUUGAGCACCAGCCUUCACCUCUUCAGCCUUCCCUCCCACGGUAGAUGCAAGCAAUGUGCGAGAUAUCUCCUAAGAAUGGAGAAAUGAGACAGCUCAACGCUGCGAUUUAGUAACAGAAGCAAAAGGGGACGUUAAUGGAAAACGAUUGCAGCUCUGAGUAAGACCCAAGAUAGGAAUUUCCCUUCUCUGUAAGAAAUCAGCUCAGAUUCUGCUGAUUGGGAUGCUCGGGAAAGGAUAUGACUAGCUCAGUGGCAGGGGCUCUCUUCCUAUAAACUGCAGAGCAAGCCAGGAUAACCAACUUGCACUUCGGCUUUGUCAGACAGACCUCGCCUUCCUUCCACAGUGAGUCCUACAGGGAGGUGAACCCAGCCAGACUGAUUCACUGAGCCCUUCCAGGACCCUGUUCCUGCAGGUCUCUAUCCACAGAGAGUAAGGCUUGAGAAGGAAGGAAGGUGCAGGUGCACGCCUGGACCUCAUCCCAGUCUGGCUUUGGGCGUCGAUGGAGUGACUGCUGUCAGUUGUGAGGGUCACUUCUGCACACAUACAGCCCCAGCUACCAAUUCCUGAGCACCUAAAUGAGAGAACCAUGCUCUCGCAGUUUGCUGGCAAGAUAUAGCCAGCAAAUUCUGGCAGUGAAUGUGGAUGCUGGUAUAUAAAGAGAGGAUUCUGCCAAUGGGACUAAAGGGUGUUGGUGCUUUUUCCAGUGCAGGUUAUUUGGCUUCGAGUACUAGUAAAAGUUGCACUAAUAAAAUGCCUCUAUUGUGUGCAGACU